GAUAUUAACAAAACAUAUACAUUAUAUCUAAUAAUCAUGAUUAAUUUUUUUUCACUCUGAUAGAAAUCUCUUUUCUUAAUUAUUAUAUUCUUUUCUAUGUAUUAAAAAUUAUCAUCUGCGAAUUGCGAUGCAGAACACUACAAGAUUUUUUUUUUUGAGAGAUAGGUAGCAUGCUAUUCGCUUCGUUUAUUUCUUUAAGAAAUAAAAUUAGCCGAAAAUGUGAAUCAACUAUGAUUCAAACUUAGAAUCUCGGAUACCAACUAAAUUUGUUUUCUUUUUUUUAAAAUUUGUGUCUUC
rnacentral:lncRNA from 1 species